rnacentral:lncRNA from 1 species
UUAGAUGGGAUGUGAAUAGAGAUGCUAAUAUGGGUAAGUCUACCCUAUUUAAACCCACCCAAUUUAAAACUCAUCCUAUCAAGACGCAAAUCCAUUUAAUCUCGUUUAAACUCAUUUAUCUAUCUUAGUUAACGCCAUUCAAGUUUCGCAUACCCAUUUAACCCUAAUUAUACCCAUUGUUAUUAUUUAAAUUACUAAUAUUGAUUAUUUUAUUAAAUUUGAUUGAUAAGUAAUAAUUUAACUAUGCGUAUUAUAUUGUCAAAGAAUAAUAUAAUUUUUGUUACUUUUUAAUAAUUAUUAUUUGUUCCCAACUCCUGUGAUACGUUGGGAACUCUUCUCUUUCGUCCUUUAUUCUUUGCUGUAGACAUAAUUGAUUCAAAGAGAAAGAAGCAGAAGAAGAAGAUCAUAGAAGUAGAAGAAAUCUGAAGAGAGAAAACAGAGGGUAUCAACGGUUUGAUUCGAAGAAGAGUAGGGUUUGAAGAACAAAAGGGUUGAUUUGAAGAGGAAGAAGAAGAUCGAAGGAGGAGAAGAAGAUGAAAGAUCGAAGAAGAAGAGAGAAAAUCUUGUGGCUAGGGUUGAAGAUCAAAGAAGAAGAAGUAAUUGGUUUUGUCGAUUAGGGUAAGGUUUAUUGGGCCGACUGUAGUCGCCACUUUAUCUAUAGAUAGUCGCUAACUAAUGGGCUUAUUUUAUAGGUGGGCCGAUAUAAACGGUUUUUGUAUCCCAUCUGUUGAAUUUAGUCGUUAUGUAGUCGUUUCUGAG